CCUACGGGGGGCAGCAGUGGGGAAUAUUGCACAAUGGGGGAAACCCUGAUGCAGCGACGCCGCGUGAGUGAAGAAGUAAUUCGUUAUGUAAAGCUCUAUCAGCAGGGAAGAAAAUGACGGUACCUGAGUAAGAAGCCCCGGCUAACUACGUGCCAGCAGCCGCGGUAAUACGUAGGGGGCAAGCGUUAUCCGGAUUUACUGGGUGUAAAGGGAGCGUAGACGGCAGUGCAAGUCAGAUGUGAAAACUCAGGGCUCAACCCUGAGCCUGCAUUUGAAACUGUGUUUCUUGAGUGCUGGAGAGGCAAUCGGAAUUCCGGGUGUAGCGGUGAAAUGCGUAGAUAUACGGAGGAACACCAGUGGCGAAGGCGGAUUGCUGGACAGUAACUGACGCUGAGGCGCGAAAGCGUGGGGAGCAAACAGGAUUAGAUACCCUUGUAGUC
rnacentral:rRNA from 1 species